rnacentral:misc_RNA from 1 species
CCGAGUGCGGGCCCUCGUGGCCCAACCUCCCACCCUUGUCUCUAUACACCUGUUGCUUUGGCGGGCCCACCGGGGCCACCUGGUCGCCGGGGGACAUCUGUCCCCGGGCCCGCGCCCGCCGAAGCGCUCUGUGAACCCUGAUGAAGAUGGGCUGUCUGAGUACUAUGAAAAUUGUCA